rnacentral:rRNA from 1 species
CUUGACAUCCAGAGAAUUUAGCAGAGAUACUUUAGUGCCUUCGGGAACUCUGAGACAGGUGCUGCAUGGCUGUCGUCAGCUCGUGUUGUGAAAUGUUGGGUUAAGUCCCGCAACGAGCGCAACCCUUAUCCUUUGUUGCCAGCACGUAAUGGUGGGAACUCAAAGGAGACUGCCGGUGAUAAACCGGAGGAAGGUGGGGAUGACGUCAAGUCAUCAUGGCCCUUACGAGUAGGGCUACACACGUGCUACAAUGGCGCAUACAAAGAGAAGCGACCUCGCGAGAGCAAGCGGACCUCAUAAAGUGCGUCGUAGUCCGGAUUGGAGUCUGCAACUCGACUCCAUGAAGUCGGAAUCGCUAGUAAUCGUAAAUCAGAAUGUUACGGUGAAUACGUUCCCGGGCCUUGUACACACCGCCCGUCACACCAUGGGAGUGGGUUGCAAAAGAAGUAGAUAGCUUAACCUUCGGGAGGGCGUUUACCACUUUGUGAUUCAUGACUGGGGUGAAGUCGUAACAAGGUAAGCGUAGUGCU